rnacentral:rRNA from 1 species
AUUGAACGCUGGCGGCAUGCCUUACACAUGCAAGUCGAACGGUAACAGGUCUUCGGAUGCUGACGAGUGGCGAACGGGUGAGUAAUACAUCGGAACGUGCCCGAUCGCGGGGGAUAACGGAGCGAAAGCUUUGCUAAUACCGCAUACGAUCUACGGAUGAAAGCAGGGGACCGCAAGGCCUUGCGCGGACGGAGCGGCCGAUGGCAGAUUAGGUAGUUGGUGGGAUAAAAGCUUACCAAGCCGACGAUCUGUAGCUGGUCUGAGAGGACGACCAGCCACACUGGGACUGAGACACGGCCCAGACUCCUACGGGAGGCAGCAGUGGGGAAUUUUGGACAAUGGGCGCAAGCCUGAUCCAGCCACGCCGCGUGCAGGAUGAAGGCCUUCGGGUUGUAAACUGCUUUUGUACGGAACGAAAAGGUCUUUUCUAAUAAAGAAGGCUGAUGACGGUACCGUAAGAAUAAGCACCGGCUAACUACGUGCCAGCCGCCGCAGUAAGAC